AAUAGCCUAACGGCUGAACCAGCAACUUGGAGGAAUGUAUAGCAAUAGCUAAUUGCACCAAAGAAUAACUGAUGCAAUAUCGACUCUGUCGAAUAAAAUUCUAGGUAGAAUUAUGAUAAUGACAUUAUCUGCCUACAUGUCUUGACCAAAUUACGUGCCAGCAGUCGCGGUAAUACGUAGAAGACUAGUGUUAUUCAUCUUUAAUAGGUUUAAAGGGUACCUAGACGGUAAAUCAAGCCUGCGAGGGGACUAGUUUACUAGAGUUACUUGCGAGGGGGUAUUAAAGUACUAAUGGUGUAGAGAUGAAAUUCUGUCAUACCUCUUUUCGGAAGAAAAACUAUGGCACAGGUAUAGGCGAAAGCAUCCCCUUAUGUGAUAACUGACGUUGAAGGACGAAGGCUUUGUGUCGCGAACAGGAUUAGAUACCCCAGUAGUCAAAGCAGAAAAUGAUGAAUGUCAUAGAUUAGGCAUAUAAUAGUUUAUUCUAUAAAUGAAAGUGUAAGCAUUCCACCUCAAGAGUAAUUUGGCAACAUUGGAACUGAAAUCAUUAGACCGUUUCUGAAACCAGUAGUGAAGUAUGUUGUUUAAUUUGAUAAUCCGCAAAAAACCUUACCACAACUUGAAUAUUUAUGUUUACUUUUUUAUAAAAAAAAAAUAUAUUUACAAGCGUUGCACGGCUGUCUUCAGUUAAUGUCGUGAGAUUUUGGUUAGUUCCAUUAAAUUAACGUAAACCCUUGCUUUAUUUUUAUAUAAAGUAGUUCCCCGCUAGAUUGGAUAUGAUAACAGGGACUAAGACAAGUCAUCAUGGCCUGAAUAUUGUGGGCUAUAGACGUGCCACAUAAACCUUACAAAAGGAUGUGAAAUUGUGAAAUUAAGCUAAUCCCCCAAAAAUGGAUAUACACUAACAAU
rnacentral:rRNA from 1 species